AUUGAACGCUGGCGGCAUGCUUUACACAUGCAAGUCGAACGAGUAGCGGACGGGUGAGUAACAUAUCGGAACGUACCUAGUAAUGGGGGAUAACUAAUCUAAAGAUUAGCUAAUACCGCAUAUUAUUCGAGCGGCCGAUAUCUGAUUAGCUGGUUGGUGGGGUAAAGGCCUACCAAGGCGACGAUCAGUAGCGGGUCUGAGAGGAGGAUCAGCCACACGGGGACUGAGACACGGCCCAGACUCCUACGGGAGGCAGCAGUGGGGAAUUUUCGACAAUGGGCGAAAGCCUGAGCCAGCAAUGCCGCGUGGCUGAAGAAGGUCUUCGGGUUGUAAAGGACUUUUGUCAGGGAAGCGGUAUCUGAAGAAUAAGCACCGGCUAACUACGUGCCAGCAGCCGCGGUAAUUC
rnacentral:rRNA from 1 species